rnacentral:lncRNA from 1 species
UCUUCUUUUUUUUUUUUUUUUUUUUUGAGCUGGGGGCAAUCCCUGGGCCUGGAGCUCAUUGAUUGGCUAGACUGGCCAUUCAUCAGGCCCAGGGAUCCUCCUCUUUUUGCCUUUCUGGUACUGGGAUUACAGACAUACCCUGCUGCACUCUGCUUCUAUGUGGGUACAGGACAUCCAUACUCAAGCCCUUGUUCUCAUUCAGCAGAUGCGUCAUGGGUUCAGUUGUCUCCUCAGUCCAUUUCUUCAGACUGACCAUAAAAGGCCCCCCCUCUGUUUUAGUUCUUCAGUCUGAGCCUGGUUAGCAUCUAGUGUUUCCUGGUUGCUCUAGUCAAUAGCAGCUCCUUAUCCAUGGUGGUUUGCAGAACCUUCUGCUGGGCUUCCUGACUAAACUGAACCCUCAGGUUGUCUGAUCCCCAGUAGGCUAAGGAAGGCUCUAGCCUUGAACUUUUUGCAACGCUUAUCCCUACUCUUGUCUUGCAGCUGAUGCUUUCUUCAAAGCCGCCAUCGGCCUCGUUCCCGAAGUCCCAAAGACGAUAAGCAUCGAUGGGAAGCUGCGGCCGUCGGAGCCCUUCCUACUGGAAUUCCUGUGCAAUUUCUUCUCUACCUUAUUGAUUGUGCCGGUAUGUUCACAGGAGCAACAGGUGGUUUUCACUCACCAUGCCUCUGCCUCCUGAGUACACUCAGCCCUUAGUAUUUUAUCUUACGUAUGUGUUUGUCAGCAUGUAUCUGUGUCCUGCAUGUGCCUGGUGUCUACAGAGGCCAGAAGAAGGUAUCAUAUACUCUGGGACUGGAAUCACAGACAGUUAUGAACCACCUUAUAGGGCUGGGAACUGAACUUGGGUCCAUCUGUAAGAGCAGCCAGUGCUCUUAACUGCCAAGCCAUCUCUUGGUUAUUUCCAACCAGGCGUGUCUUUUAGCUGAUUCAAGGUCUGAUAAGUUGACAACCAAGAUUAACCAAUGAUGUAACCCUUACAUCAUCUAAAUGGAACCAUGGUUUCAGCUUAUGUAUCUGGGUUGGGGGAGGUACUACUAUUCAGUGCUCUGUACUCUACACUGCCAAGGCUAGGGUGUAGUGACCUUGGACCAUGAUGGUGACAGUGGGCACCAGCUCUUUCUCCCCUUGGCUCUGCAGGUUUGGGGGUUACUUAUGUGUGUGUCCUGUCCACAAAAUGAGGGUGAUCUUGUGCCAGCUCCCAGUGUUCUGAUGAGGACUGGGUAAGGGCACAGAGUAUAGCCACCCAGGGAAGCUCUUAGGUGGCAGGAUUCUUUGGAACCGGAAACAGUAGACAUUGGCUCUUUGUGGUUGUGAGAGAUGAGCAGUCAUCCCUGGGGCCCUUUUGGGGCUAGGGGAGUCCUGUAGUAGGAUUCCUGGAGGCUUCCCAUAGCAGGGGUUCUCAGCCUGGUCUUGGACCUGCUUCCUGACAGCAGUUUGGAUGAAGAAACGAAAUGGCAUCUCUGUUUUCCCAAGUGUCUGGGUCCGUUUACCUUUCACCUGAUUGUGAGCUGCACACAGAGAGCCUCGGUGGUCACGGCAGCGGUUGGGGCUUUGUCACAGAGAGACGUGAACAGGCAUUCUGUUACUCCGGUUCUGGUGCAGAGGCUGUUUCUUCUUCUUUUCUUUGUUGUUCCCGACCACCUGCCCCUUCUCCUCAUCUCCUUCUUCUUUCCCCUCCCUUCCCAUUUGUCUCAUCCCAUGUUUUGUGAGCAGUCUUUUGGUUUUUUGGUUUAUUUUGUUUUUACUUUUGAGAGUCUCACUGUGUAAGUGAGGCCAUCUGAAACUCAAGAUUCUCUUACUGCAGUCCUCCCAUGCCGCAUGCUGCCUUCAUGCAGUCCUCCCAUGCGACAUGCUGCCUUCCUGCAGUCCUCCCAUGUGGCAUGCUACUUUUUCUUCACCAACACACGCAGCACCUGCCUUGCUUGCUUCUGAAAGAGUUCAGGCUGCUGCUCUUCUCCCUUCCUUAGAAAGCACCAUGGUAACUCUCCCCACAGAGCGUCCUUAGGUUUUCACAAAAGCAUUGGGAAAGUAGCCGCAGAAUUGCAUUGCUAUGACCAUGUUCCCUUGAAGCCUCGGGUGUCUUCUUUGCUGAUUUACAAAUAACAGCCCCAGGAAUCUAUAGGCUUCACCUGGCAAAAUUGAAACCAAAAACUGCAAAGCAAAUAUCAAAACAAUACCCCAGAAACCCUUCCUUGAGACGGCUGUGCAUCGGGGUUGCCCUGUUAAAUGCACACUCCUGGAGUUCACCCUUGAAUGUCUCUCUCAGGAGGUUAAAACUGGCCCAUUGGAGGGCACUGCCCUCAGUGGUUCAGGAGGGGCCACUCCCAGGACUAGACCGGGAGAUGUGUCAUGCCAAGUUUGGGCUGUGCAAUGACUCAGCACUUGCUGGGUCCCAGGUUUCUUUAGGGGUGAUGAAAUACUCUUCAGUCGAUUGUGGCGACAGCCACACAACUCUGGAUGCAGGAACAGACAUUGAAUUGUGUGCCCUGAAUGGGCGUAUUGUUCCCUGUGCGGAUUAUGUAUCUCCAUCAAGCUGAGAAAACAAAAAAUGACUCAGCAGUGGGCUCUCUCUGUUCAGAUUCCAAGUUCUCAGAGGGGAACCAGGAGGCCCAGCCACAGACCUGCUCUGGGGGAGGCUUUGAUUGUCCUUUGUGGCAGGCAGCAUCCUGGUGAGGGGUCAGGUGGCAGAGCUGCAGGGGCUCCCAGAGUCCCUUCCCUGGACACCUGCUCACCGUGCUCUGCGGUCAGUGCCUCCUGUCUGUCUGACCUGGUUAUUUGUCCUAUACGUAGAGCCGAGGACAAGCCCAAGUUUCUAAUGAAGCACUUGAUGUUGAUCGUGUGGUGAUUUGUCGAGGUGCCUUACCGCCUGCACACGAGCUUCCCACGUGCUGCAAGCAGCCAGGGUCUCUCUGAAGGCCUUCUCCUCAGAGUCUCAAACUUGGGUCAAGCUCUGGGGCCUUGGAGAUGGUUUUGUAAUUCCUCCAAGUCUUACCUGUCAUCUUACAAAAGCAUGGAAAUGCCUACCUCGCAGGACUGCCGCCUUGCGGGUUUCAUACUUAAGAACGAAAGCAUGCUGUAAGCCAGAGCCUCCCUCCCUGGGGUUACACGCUGGUGACCAGAGGGCAGAACCCAGCCAGCUGCCACACUUGCUUCCUCCGGGACGAUGGAAAGCGCUUGGAGUUUUCCAC